rnacentral:lncRNA from 1 species
UUUUGCCAUGUUGGCCAGGAUGGUCUCAAACUGCUGACCUCAGGUGAUCCGCCUGCCUCAGCCUCCAAAAGUGCUGGGGUUACAGGCAUGAGCCACCGUGCCCAGCCUCCAAAUCCAAUCUUAACAUUGCUGUUGAGAUUGAAAGAGUUGGCAGCUGAGGUCAGGUGGUGGAUGAGGAAAAGCUGGUGGCUCCACGAUUCUGAGCUGAGGGUGUCAAAGGAGAUGGAGUGGAUGAUAGGAGAGAAGCAGGCUACUGAACACGCUGGCUUAGGAGUGGCUGUGAGAUAGCCCCUUUCCCCAAAUGUACCCAAAUGUACCCAAGAAGGUGCAACUUUAAAGUAGAAGAUGCUCCACGGAGUUACCUAUGGGCACAGGAAAAGGGCAAAGAGCAAAACUAUAUUUCUCCAAACAGCUUUUCCCGAUACUCAUAUUUACCACUGCCUUAUGUAAUUUCUCAUUUUCAUGAAUACUAGGAUUUUUACCACCAUCCUUCAUCAAGCAGGUAGAGAUAAUGCCAUAUCUUUUUAUUUGCCCUACUGUGUUUAUUUACAAUAUUAGCUUAUUAAGUAAUUGGCUGAUCAUUAUGAGAGUUUGUAUUAUUUCCCUUUUAUGUCAUUUAGAAUUGCAGAGGUUAACAAUGGGAAAAAUUGGCAUAUUAAAAAUUCCCAACUUCUGGAAAUCAAUGUCAUAUUUACCCAAACAGACUUUUCUCCCUAAAGUGAAGUGACAUUUUAUCCAGCGUGUCUUGCCAUUUAAUGGUGGAUUCUGAGCUCCCUCUAGUGAGAAAUGCGCUUCUUAUAAACGGAUUGUAUCAAAUAAUCUCAUGGAAAUUGCCUCCUAUAGAGCUGAGUAAUGAAUAUAUUUUCCUUUUAAGCCAGGCUCUUUAAAACUUUCUAAGAGGACAAAAUUUUAUGAAGUCAUGUUUAUAAGUCAUUUUUUUAAUUAAAAAAUUACUAUGGAAACACAUUCAUACAAAUAUGAAACUAACUGUGCUUUCAUUUUUUCAGCAUCUAUUUUUUUAAGCACUUACUAUGAUAGGGGCCCUGCGCUGGGACCAGAAGGUCAUGAAACACAUGGGGUCCUGUUCCAAAGGUCAGGUGUGAGGAACCCACAUUAGCCCUAGGAUCUGGUUUAUUGGAAAUACUUUAUGAUAUCCUGUAAUCCCAAGUAUUGAGAAUUUUCUCAAUUUUAGGUCCUAAUUUUCAUAAUGAAUAGAGGUCUUUGAGCUGUCACUCUUAUGUGCCUGAACUAAUCUAUUGAUUAACUGUCAGAUACCCCAAGGACCAUCAGAAAAACCUAUUGAUCAACCAAAGUCAAGUUUAUAAGAUUAACUACAGUAAGAGAGAACACCACCUUGACAGAAUCUUAUAAGUAUCUGAAAAUGAAAGAAUAAGGCAGGGUAUUUACAGAGUUUUAGGACCUAGGCUGGGCGAUUUUGUUUUUGUUUUUGUUUUGAGACGGAGUCUCGCUCUGUUGCCCAGGCCGGACUGCACUGGCGCAAUCUCGGCUCACUGCAAGCUCCGCCUCCCAGGUUCACGCCAUUCUCCUGCCUCAGCCUCCCGAGUAGCUGGGACCACAGGCGCCCGCCACUGCGCCCGGCUAAUUUUUUGUAUUUUUAGUAGAGACGGGGUUUCACCUUGUUAGCCAGGAUGAUCUCGAUCUCCUGACCUUGUGAUCCACCCGCCUCAGCCUCCCAAAGUGCUGGGAUUACAGGCGUGAGCCACCGCG